rnacentral:rRNA from 1 species
AAACCAGCACCUCAAGUGGUCAGGAUGAUUAUUGGGCCUAAAGCAUCCGUAGCCUGAUCUGUAAGUUUUCGGUUAAAUCUGUACGCUCAACGUACAGGCCGCCGGGAAUACUGCAGAUCUAGGGAGUGGGAGAGGUAGACGGUACUCGGGAGGAAGUGGUAAAAUGCUUUGAUCUCUCGAUGACCACCUGUGGCGAAGGCGGUCUACCAGAACACGUCCGACGGUGAGGGAUGAAAGCUGGGGGAGCAAACAGGAUUAGAAACCCCGGUAGUCC